AAAAAUAUUGACAUUUACUUGAACAUACAUUUGUUUUCUGACUGUGUUAUUAAAAAAAACGUCCAUAUGUCCUUAUCCAUUGCACAGUGGGAUGUACUGUAGUUGGGACGAUGUACUGUAGCUGGGACGAUGUACUGUAGGUGGGACGAUGUACUGUAGGUGGGACGAUGUACUGUAGCUGGGUCGAUGUACUGUAGCUGGGACGAUGUACUGUAGGUGGGACGAUGUACUGUAGGUGGGACGAUGUACUGUAGCUGGGACGAUGUACUGUAGCUGGGUCGAUGUACUGUAGCUGGGACGAUGUACUGUAGCUGGGACGAUGUACUGUAGCUGGGUCGAUGUACUGUAGCUGGGUCGAUGUACUGUAGCUGGGACGAUGUACUGUAGCUGGGACGAUGUACUGUAGCUGGGACGAUGUACUGUAGCUGGGUCGAUGUACUGUAGCUGGGACGAUGUACUGUAGCUGGGACGAUGUACUGUAGGCUGGGACGAUGUACUGUAGGUGGGACGAUGUACUGUAGCUGGGUCGAUGUACUGUAGCUGGGUCGAUGUACUGUAGCUGGGACGAUGUACUGUAGCUGGGUCGAUGUACUGUAGCUGGGACGAUGUACUGUAGCUGGGUCGAUGUACUGUAGCUGGGACGAUGUACUGUAGCUGGGUCGAUGUACUGUAGCUGGGACGAUGUACUGUAGCUGGGACGAUGUACUGUAGCUGGGACGAUGUACUGUAGUUGGGACGAUGUACUGUAGCUGGGACGAUGUACUGUAGCUGGGACGAUGUACUGUAGCUGGGUCGAUGUACUGUAGCUGGGACGAUGUACUGUAGCUGGGACGAUGUACUGU